rnacentral:lncRNA from 1 species
CUACAGACUGUGAGCUAAAUAAGCCUUUCCUCCUUUAACUUUGGGUGUCGGGUAUUUUGUCUUGGCAAUGAGAAAAGUAACCAAGACAUGGACAUUAGGUGAAGAAUUUCCUGACUUGACUUAAAACUGGAACUCAGUUGAACAGAAGCAAGCAGAGCUGGGGUUUUCUGCUAGCCUAAGAACUAACACAAAAACGCUGUAGGCAAAGAAACACGUCAAAGGGAUGGGAGUCAGCAGGUCCCACCGGGAACAUGCACCACCUGACUCGUCCUUGCUCUUCAUCUUCUUUGCUCCCUGGUGGCCAUGGAGCCACAGCUGCUGUGAGAGGGAAGAGACUUUGCAUGGCCAGCACUGCCUGCCUGCAGGACCACAGGCCAGCACAUUAGAGAGGAUGCGAAGCACCAGAUGAGGAAACUGAUACCCAGAAAGGUUCUGUAACCUCCCUGCGGUCUUGGAAUGAGUGUAAGAGCAGCUAUAGGCCCGUGUCUGACAUCAACACCUGCACUCAAUCAACAGGGUGAGAAAAAAUAGCCCCAAGGGAAAGACAAUUCUAAUGAGUCACCAGAGGGAGGAUAGGUACUCUGUGGGGCAAGUUUCUCCAAAAUCGUUCAAAUUCUCCAACUUCUGCCAACCAAAAAUACUUGCAAGGUGGUCAGCCUGGGGAAGAGUCAAGUCUACAGUCAUAUAACAGAAUUUUUCUCUAAAUGAGAAUAACUAACUGGUCCAUACAGAAAUACAGGUAAUGUGCCCAGGGUAUUAGGAAAUAAGCCCUUGGCCAGAAGUAGAAGACAUAAGGUGGGGGAAAGAAAAGAAGAUUAGCCUUCCUUUUCAUUAAACCUUUUCAGAGAAAGUACAUCAACCCGUUUCCUCCCUCCUUUGUAGUAAACAUGGGGCAGAGAGCACACACAAAAAAUCAAAUCCACCCAAAAAAGAUUUUCCAAGGGAAAUAAUAAUCUCAAUCCCAGAAUUUGUGCAGGCUGGCGAGAUCUGGAGGAGCAUCAAGGAAGAUCUCAGGAUAAUGGUACUGGUCAGCAAAUUAGAUGCACCACUGCAAUCCCACAAAGCAGCAAAAGUCAACGCCAGUGUGACUUGCAAACUUUGCUAGCCAAGACUCCAGUCACACUGGAGUCAGAAGAGGGGUCGGUGCCCACUUUGUCACCCUCAGUGUCCAGUCUGACCUCAGGCUGGAAAGCUCAUGUCCAGUGCCCCAGUAUCCCAGGAGGCAAAGAGGUGGAACGGGGCAGAGGAGAAGGAAAAAAACGUUGCUGGGGAAGAAAGAGCGAAGAAGGAACUUUAAAAUCAGAGCUCUG